UAGGGAAUAUUGCGCAAUGGGGGAAACCCUGACGCAGCGACGCCGCGUGGGUGAUGAAGGCUUUCGGGUCGUAAAGCCCUGUCGAGUGGGACGAAAGACGGUAUGGCUAAUAUCCAUACCGAGUGACGGUACCACUAAAGGAAGCACCGGCUAACUACGUGCCAGCAGCCGCGGUAAUACGUAGGGUGCAAGCGUUGCUCGGAAUCAUUGGGCGUAAAGAGCGUGUAGGUGGCUAGAUAAGUCGGAUGUGAAAUCCCUCGGCUCAACCGAGGAAGGGCAUUCGAAACUAUCUAGCUCGAGGAUGGCAGAGGAAGGUGGAAUUCCUAGUGUAGAGGUGAAAUUCGUAGAUAUUAGGAGGAAUACCGGUGGCGAAGGCGGCCUUCUGGACCAUUCCUGACACUGAGACGCGAAAGCGUGGGUAGCAAACAGGAUUAGAUACCCCCGUAGUCC
rnacentral:rRNA from 1 species